ensembl:lncRNA
GUCUGAGCCACCAGGGAAGCUUGUGUUUUAUUACAGAUGCACGAUAAAUAGGGCAGGUUUAGAAAGCUCUCUCUAGGGAAUGGUAGAUGAUGGACUGGAGUUGGGUACGAAAGGCAGUUGGACCAGUGAGUGGAGUUUGCAGCAGAGCAGGUACAAGAUCUGCAUUUGGUCGUUGAUCCCAGAAAUGAAGUGGGGCGGUGGGGGAUGUUUCCAAAGCAGGAUGCCCUUUGUCCCUUAAGCAACAGGACCCUGUUGUCUCUAAACUUCAGGACAGAAAUGACUCUAGGGAGCUCCCCCAUGCCUCCCUCUGGGUUACAGACACCUCUGCUGGCGCCCUCUCUCGUCCCCGUCGCCAGCCCCCGCCUCCUUUCUCAGGAAGCUUGGGUCUCCCUGGGAGCGGGUCUGCCCUUGGGGGAGGCCUGUCGACUCGGCGCCCUGCAGCCCGACGGACAUUCGGGGCGGAUCGAAGAGGGGCUCGGCGCCCCCUGCGUGCACAUGUGCUAGCCCGGGCAGGAGGGAGCGCCUCCGCGGAGGAGUCCAGGAAGAGGGGGCAGGGAGAGGCGCUCCAGAACCUCGGUCCCGGGCGCCCUGGUCGGCCGCGGUGGAGCUGCAGCUUCCAACAGGAGGAAGCUGAGGCUCAGAGAAAUGGAAUGGAUUUCCCCAAAGCCAGAACUCAAAGCCAGAUCUGACCGACCGUAAAUCCCAACCAUUGACACCAGUCAGAAAUCACAAUGAAGCCAGAAAGCAGUGUGGUCAGUGGUACCGCAGCAUCAUUGCCUGAACUGGUGACUAAGACGGACGACUGCUGUCAAGAGCAGGUGGACCUGUCAGCCUUGGUUCCUCUUCCAGGUGGCCCCCAAGCUUG